UACGUAGGGUGCAAGCGUUGUCCGGAAUCAUUGGGCGUAAAGCGCGUGUAGGCGGCCCGGUAAGUCCGCUGUGAAAGUCGGGGGCUCAACCCUCGGAUGCCGGUGGAUACUGUCGGGCUCGAGUACGGAAGAGGCGAGUGGAAUUCCUGGUGUAGCGGUGAAAUGCGCAGAUAUCAGGAGGAACACCAAUUGCGAAGGCAGCUCGCUGGGACGUUACUGACGCUGAGACGCGAAAGCGUGGGGAGCAAACAGG
rnacentral:rRNA from 1 species